AUGCUGCUGCCUUGUUGCCUCUCUCCAGCCUCGCGCAGAUGCACACACAUGCAUACGCACACAUGCACGUGCAUGCACGUGUGCACACAUGCAUGCACACAYGCACACGUGCAUGCACAUGUGCACACGUAUACAUGCACGCUUGCUGAUGCGGGGCUGCCCUUGCUCCCUGCGCAGUGCGUGUCAGCCCGGCACGGCCCCGCCGCAGCCCAUCGCUUCGCAUCAGGGCAGCUGGCGGUGAUGCCCGCCGCCCGCGGUGCCGGCAGGCCGAGCCGUGGCGAGCGGCCGUGGCGCGCUGCCAGGCCCUGCGCCGCGCUGCUGCAGCUCGCCGCGGCCCCGCUGCUCCCCAGGCGCCCUCGGCGGAGGGGGCUGCGCUUCGGCCCCUCGGACCCCCGUUUCUGUGGGGAGCCGGGUCCCCGCCGGGUCUCUCUCCAGCCUCCCUGGCCAGGCCUGCGCAGGGCUGAGCACUGCGGCAGCUCGUCUCACGGUGCACGGGGAAGGGGGGCAGCGAAGCAGCCGGGGGCACUGCAGGGGGUUUCUGCCCUCYGCGCGGGAGCUGCUGGGGCGAUCUGGUGCAGGAGCCGGCGGCUCCCCGGCUGGGCGCACGUGUGCGGGACGGGUCACCCGGCUGCUCGCCGAGGACGCGGCCGCCGGCCCUGCGCAGGCGGGAGGCUGCUGCAAUGCAGAGGGCUGGUUCUGCAGACGCUGCCCGGCGAGACGGACGCCUGUCCGUCCUUCCAAAACCAGGAGCUCUCGCCGACGGUGCCCCCUCUYCCCACCCAGGCGGAGACAUCCCGGUUUUGCCCUGCAUCCCGUGCCCCCAGGAGCUGCCACCGCAGGCUCCCCCGGCACCAGGGGAGGAACCCAGGGCGCCGCAGGGCUGCCCAGCAGGGCUCCGGCAUUUGCACCAGCUCCUCGCUCCUGGCUUCCAUGGCCGGGGGGAAGCAGCCGGGGCGCACACGGGUACCAGCACUGGGGCUUGCUCCGGGGCUCCCCCCGGGUCCCUUUCCCACUGCCGCCUCCCUCCCUGACCCUGGCUGCUGCCUCCCUGCCCUGCUCACACCAGGCUUUGGGAUCCGGAAUAACUCCGCAGGCAGAGCCGGGCCCUGCUGGGAGCCGCAGCUGGGUAUAAAAGCCCCGGGGCGGCGCAGCUGGGCCCUCGGCGGAGGGAGCUGA
rnacentral:lncRNA from 1 species